AGAGGGUGCAAGCGUUAAUCGGAUUUACUGGGCGUAAAGCGUGCGUAGGCGGUUCGUUAAGUCGAUUGUGAGAGCCCUGGGCUUAACCUGGGAAUUGCAGUCGAUACUGGCGGACUAGAGAACGGUAGAGGGAGGCGGAACUCCAGGUGUAGCGGUGAAAUGCGUAGAUAUCUGGAAGAACACCGAUGGCGAAGGCAACCUCCUGGGCCUGUUCUGACGCUGAGGCACGAAAGCGUGGGUAGCAAACAGGAUUAGAUACCCUGGUAGUCCACGCUGUAAACGAUGAGAACUUGACGUCGGGUCGCUUAGCGAUUCGGUGUCGAAGCUAACGCGCUAAGUUCUCCGCCUGGGGAGUACGGCCGCAAGGUUGAAACUCAAAGGAAUUGACGG
rnacentral:rRNA from 1 species